GUGUAGCUCAGUGGUAGAGCACUUGCCUAGCAAGAGCCAGGCCCUGGGUUCAAUACCCAACAC
rnacentral:tRNA from 1 species